rnacentral:ncRNA from 2 species
GGUCCUGAGCGCCAGCGACAAGCCCCGGCUCGCUGGCCGGCAACCCUCCCUGCGACGGGGUGCCCCGGGUGACGACCUGGCCGUGCGCGUCCGCGCCCGGCAAGCAGAGGCC